rnacentral:rRNA from 1 species
AACGAACGCUGGCGGCGUGGAUAAGACAUGCAAGUCGAACGAAUGGAGGCACUUCGGUGCCAAAGUUAGUGGCGCACGGGUGAGUAACACGUGAGCAACCUGCCCUUAAGACAGGGAUAGCCCCGGGAAACUGGGAUUAAUACCUGAUAGACUCGAAAGAGUAAAGGAGUAAUCCGCUUAAGGAAGGGCUCGCGGCCUAUUAGUUAGUUGGUGAGGUAACGGCUCACCAAGGCGAUGACGGGUAGCCGGUCUGAGAGGAUGUCCGGCCACACUGGAACUGAGACACGGUCCAGACAUUUACGGGUGGCAGCAGUCGAGAAUCAUUCACAAUGGGCGCAAGCCUGAUGGUGCGACGCCGCGUAGGGGAGGAAGGUCUUUGGAUUGUAAACCCCUGUCAUGUGGGAGCAAGGCGCAAGCUUGAUAGUACCACAAGAGGAAGAGACGGCUAACUCUGUGCCAGCAGCCGCGGUAAUACAGAGGUCUCAAGCGUUGUUCGGAAUCACUGGGCGUAAAGGGUACGUAGGCAGCACUAUAAGUCGUGCGUGAAAGGCAGGGGCUCAACCCCUGGAGUGCGCAUGAAACUGUAGAGCUAGAGGCAUGGAGAGGGAACUGGAACUCUUGGUGUAGCAGUGAAAUGCGUAGAUAUCAAGAAGAAGACUCGUGGCGAAGGCGAGUUCCUGGACAUGAACUGACGCUGAGGUACGAAGGCUAGGGUAGCGAAAGGGAUUAGAUACCCCUGUAGUCCUAGCAGUAAACGGUGCACGCUUGGUGUGGGAAGAAUCGACCCCUUCCGUGCCGGAGCAAACGCGUUAACGUGCCGCCUGGGGAGUACGGUCGCAAGAUUAAAACUCAAAAAAAUUGACGGGAACCGCACAAGCGGUGGAGUAUGUGGCUUAAUUCGAUGCAACGCGAAGAACCUUUCCAAGCUUUGACAUCCCGUGAAAAGCUUUGAAAGUAUUAUUAGUCGUAAACCCCCGAAAACAGGGCUGCAUGGCCGCCCUCACCUUCUGGUCUGAAAUUUUGGUUAAUCCAA